CACACACUGCACAGGCACUACACCCACUACAUGCACUGCACCCACUACAUGCACUACACACACUGCACCCACUACAAAGACACUGCAUCCACUAUGCACACUGCAACCACUACACACAUUUCAUCAACCUGCACAAACACAGAUACUUCACACACUCAGGGUUGGCCAUAAGAUGGCACAUUAGGGUGCAUCAGUCAGGGCUUCAAUAUCCGGGCCAUGGGUGAGCGACAGGAGGAGCGCACACAGAGCUCCACCUCCUGCAGAUCACUUCAUGUAGCGUGACUGAGCAGACAAUUGUGGCCGUGGUUUUGGUUGUACGGGGGCAGCAUUUUAUCUUUGGACCCAG